rnacentral:rRNA from 1 species
ACGCUAUCUUAACGGAAAUGCUGUGCAGUACGAGAGGAACCACAGCUUCGAACCAAUGGCUCAAUACUAGUUCGACCGGACUUUGGUAUAACGCUACGUUCGUUGGAUUAUGCCUGAACGCCUCUAAGGUCGUAACCAAACCGAGCUGAUAGUGUCUCCUUAUAGGUCGUCGGCGAUCAUGUGGCAAAAAACCUACAAGACCUGCUAGCGUGAUCUCACGUUGGCAUCUUAUUGCAUGCACGCAGACAAAGCCCCCGCGCGCGGCACCAUACAGCAAGUAUCUAAGAUACUGGAACGCUGGUGGCGCUGCUCAGCAUCAAUAUAUGAUUUCGAUACCUGAGACCCCCUACAAACGAUAGGUUUACAGGCUGGGAGUUGCGAGUUGCAGAGAGGUGUACAUUUCGAUCCUCUCAGACUACCCUUGGACUCACCACCUUU